AUGGCGACGGAGGAUUCUGCCCCCGUCCGCGUCGUCUCCCGCCGCAUGGUGCGGCCGUCUUCGAGCGGCGUGGCGACGUGCUCAGCCGAGCCUGCGGCCGAGACGGUGCACCUUGCGCCGUGGGACCUCCAGAUGCUGACCGUGGACUACAUCCAGAAGGGCAUCCUCCUGCCUAAGCCCCCCGCCGGAGACGGCGGCGAGCGCCUCGUCGGGCGCCUUGCGUCGUCCUUCGCCCGCGCUCUAGGACGCUUCUACCCCUUCGCCGGCCGCCUCGCAGCCGAGGAGCAGCUGGAGGACGGCGGCGUCACCGUCUCUCUGCACUGCACCAGCGAGGGCGCCGAGUUCGUCCACGCGGUGGCGCCCGGCGUCACGGUGGCCGAUGUCGCGGCGUCGCUGUACAUCCCCCGUGUGGUCUGGCCUUUUUUCCCACUCGACGGGUUGGUCGGCGCGGAUGCCGUGGCCGACUCGCGCCCCGUCCUUGCCGCGCAGGUCACCGAGCUCGCCGACGGCGUGUUUGUCGCCAUGUCGCUCAGCCACGCCGUUGCCGAUGGGACUGCCUUCUGGCACCUCUUCAACACCUGGUCCGAGAUGAGCCGGAGUGGCGGCACCGACGCCGAGAUGCUCACGCCGCCGCCGGUGCUCGUGCGCUGGUUCCCCGAUGCCUGCCCUGUACCGGUCCCUCUGCCGUUCGCCAAGCUGGAGCAUAUGAUCCGGCGGUUCGAUUGCCCGCCGGUGGAGGAGUGCUUCUUCCAUUUCUCCGCGGAGAGCAUCAAGAAGCUGAAGGCCAGAGCGAACGCCGAGGUGGCCAGCGCCGGCGUCGGCUCGGCGACCUCCACAGCCACCCUCUCGUCCCUCCAGUCCCUGCUCGCACACGUCUGGCGCUCAGUGUCUCGCGCCCGGCGCCUGUCACCGGUGGAAGAGACGACGUACACCGUGCUCGUCGGGUGCCGCGGCCGUGUCAAGCGCGUACCACAAACGUACGCAGGGAACGCCGUGGUGCGCGCCACGGCGAGGUCCACGGCCGGCGAGAUCCUGGACAGGGGACUGGGGUGGACGGCGCGGCUGCUGAACAGCGCCAUCGCGUCGCUCGACGAGGCAGCGCUGGUGGGCUCGCUAACUUCGUGGCACCAGGACCCGAGGUUCGCGUACCAGGCGGGGUUCUGGAACCCGGCGAUGGUGGUGACCGGGAACUCGCCGCGGUUUGACGCGUACGGAAACGACUUCGGGUGGGGACCGCCGGUGGCCGUGCGGAGCGGUGGUGCGAACAAGGUGGACGGGCGGGUGACGGUGUACGAGGGCCGCGGGGGCGGUGGGAGCAUGGGGCUGGAGGUGUGCCUCGCGCCGGAGGCGCUCGCGCGGCUAGCUGCAGACGAUGAGUUCAUCUAUCAGGACUGA
rnacentral:rRNA from 1 species